rnacentral:ribozyme from 1 species
AAAUGAAUACCAAGACAAAGAAAGAAAAACAAAGAAGAAGAAAAACAAAGAAAGGAUCAACAAAGAGACUGUCGGAGACGCCGUGCCUGUCUCUCUUUUCAGUCUCUUAGCUUCUUAAUCAUCCUCUCUUUCAUUU